UCUUGCCCAUAGAUGAUGAUGAUGAUGAUGAUGAUGAUGAUGAUCAUCAUCAUCAUCAUCAUCAUCAUCAUCAUCAUCAUCAUCAUCAUCAUUU
rnacentral:pre_miRNA from 1 species